rnacentral:rRNA from 1 species
AUACGUAGGUGACAAGCGUUAUCCGGAUUUACUGGGUGUAAAGGGCGCGUAGGCGGGAUGGCAAGUCAGAUGUGAAAUCUCCGGGCUCAACCCGGAAACUGCAUUUGAAACUGUCGUUCUUGAGUAUCGGAGAGGCAAGCGGAAUUCCUAGUGUAGCGGUGAAAUGCGUAGAUAUUAGGAGGAACACCAGUGGCGAAGGCGGCUUGCUGGACGACAACUGACGCUGAGGCGCGAAAGCGUGGGGAGCAAACAGGAUUAGAUACCCUGGUAGUACACGCCGUAAACGAUGAAUACUAGG